GCUCUUCCCAUGCUUCUCACUUCCUAAUGGGUGUAAACAAGGCAAACUGAGCCGAGGAAGCAGAGGCAGUGUUCACCUUGCCUGCCUGUGCCCGGGUCACUGAUUUUUCUCACUGCUAGGCCCUGUGCAGAAGUUUUGUUAUCCGAAGGAUCAAUUUUACCAGGGAAUUGCUUUCUGAAUUCGACCUUUGAGGAUCAUCAAUCUAAGCAGGAACUGUAACCCCAGCAGGCUGACCCCGCAGCACAGCACUUUCCAGCCCAAUCAAUCAGGCUGCAUUAUUUAAUGGUGAGCAGCCGAGCACCCUCAGCCAGCCCCGUUCUGGGCAGAGCUUUCUGCAUCCUGGCCUUCCUGCAGCUCGGGCUCAGUGGAUCAGCUUCAACCCCUUCCUCAGGCUCCUGUGGCUCCUCCUCUGGGCCCACAGCCCAAGGACACGCCGAUGGUCUGUGCCUGCCUUUCCCCAGCCAAGACUCAGCUGGUACAGACUGGAGCAAAUGGCAUUAGCCCAGUCCCCUGGGUGGGAGCUGCUCCUCCUGCUCGCUCUGCUCAUCCUCCUCGGCUCCCAGCCACGCAGGAAGGAGAGGAUGAAGGGAAAGGUUAGGAGCUACUUAGCAAUGAGGCUUAAAAAUCAGCAGCGGGGCAGACACCUGCUCUGUGUCCUGCAGAAGGGAGCCGUGGCCCGGCUCCAGCCCCGGGGCUGCUCCAGCAAAGUGCUGGCUGCAAUAUGGUCUCUCUGGCUCUGGAGGAGAUCUGGGGAGCUGGGAGUGCUUCUCCUCUCUGGCUCGUGGGUCAAGGCUGUGCUGACAGUGCAUUCAGGGCCUGUGUAGGGUCAGCAGGGGUGGGGAGCAGCCCCAGCAGGACCUGCAGCACCCUCAGGACACCCACCCUGCCCCUGGCUGGCAGGAGGUCACACCCUUGCACUUGGCAUCCAACAAAAACUGGCUCACACUGCUCCCAGCAGGAGGGGUCGGAGCAAUGUGUGCCCCAAGAUGUUGCAGUUUGCACAAAGGGCUAUUUAUGAGUUUAUUUCAGUGCAGGUCAUCCAGCUUUCCUCAGAGUGGUGCAGUGUGGUUCUGAUGCUGCCAAUGCCUCCACCAGGGAACAUCACGGAGCUUGGAGCACCGAGGAAAGUUUACAGAAAAGUGUCCUUUUUUCCUUUUAUUUUCUUUUUUUUUCUUUUUUCCAGCCAUAAAGAACACUUUUCUGCAAUUCUCCAUGUCAGCAUCCUGGAGGUCACAGCAGCGAGCUGCUGGAGAGGUGUCUGGUGCCAAGCCCACGUGUGAGGGAAGGAGAUGCCCACACACAGGAAGGGGCGCUGCUCGCAGCACGCUCCGGCAGCUGCCCGGCCAUGGCUUACCCACUUCUACCUGCUCUUCUGCAACUCUUUUGGCAGCUCAGCAAAAGCAGGGAGCAAAUCUUUUGGGCAAAGCAUAACGGGUGCUGAGCUUGGAUUGUUUCUGGCCCAUCUGUGCGUGUGGAAGCAGGUUCCUCCCUGCUCCUCAGGGUGAGAUGUUCACCAGCCACCACACAAAAUCUGAGACCCUCAACAAGAGACUCUUCCACAGACCAAACCUUUUCUCCAAUUUAAAGACAGCUUUGCUGGAGAAGUCAGGAUCAGCUGGAAGGUCUCCCACACCAGAGCCAGAAGAAGGAAUGUCCAGCCAGGGCAAAGCAGCUCAGGGGCAGCUGGGAUGGGCUUUGUGCUGGCACCCCUGGUUAGAGCUGAGCUACAGCCACAGCUUCAUUGAGAGAAGGAGGCAGUGACCAGGAAUUCAUUCAUCUUUAGCAGCAAUGCAGCAUCAACCACAUCUCAAAACUCACCAAAAAUGCAGAAAAAUGCAUCCCCUGCAUGUGGGUACCACUGACCAUUUCCAGCUCCUUUUAUUGCAGGAGGUGCUCUUGGGGGUGGCCUUGCUCCUCCAGGUGUGGAGUGCCUGAUCCUGGCUGUUGGCACCAGGGUAACAGGCUGGCCAAAGCUGUUCUGCUCCACCAGCACAAACUCUUCAAGUCAUGUGGAGAGAAAAUCCUCCUGGAGAGCAUCCAUGCAUGAGACUGCACUGAGAACACACCAGGGAAGGAAGCAGGAAAGCACAAAGGGCCUUUCCCUUCAAUUUUUUUGUGUGAGCAAAGUAGCAGCCAAGGAAGGCCAAGGAAAGCCCAGGAAGAGCAAUUGGUGAAGUGAGGAAAGGAAACGCCACUUCAAAACUAGAAACCUCAUCUUAUUGGUGCCUCUUUGGCCUGAGCACAGCCCGAGAGGAGGCUCUGCUCCAGUGAUGAGGGGUGCUCCCUCCUGCCUUCCUCCAGGGACUGCUCAUCACCAGCAGGAUGGACAGACAGACAGACAGUGCCUGCACUGGGGCAGGGCAGGACAGAGGGGAGAAAUCCUAAUAACCAGCCUAAAAUUGAUUCACUUCUGCUCAAUCUGAUUCCUCCUAACUGGAUCCACAUGUCCUGGCCAUGGCACAUUAACUUCAAUUACAGAUUAUUAAUGUCUCUGUGAUGGAGCGUGCCCUGCUGAGCACGGCAGUGACUGAAGGGGAGGAAAUUACUCCAGAGAGACCCAGGGUGCAAUGGAAGCAGAGAACCAGUGGCUCUCACCACAGCCCUGGCAGCCAGGGAAAGCUCAUUCACCCGUGCCUGAGCUCGCUGCUGCACCGAGGAGAAAAUUAAGCAGUGAAUAGAGAGAUCUGUGGGGAAAAGUCCUUCCACUUCCCCACCCUGCCUGGCACACACACAGCACACAGAGCAAGGGCUUGCUUCUGUCUAUUCCUGUCCUGGCUCUUCUGCAUCUCCAGUUACUCUGCAGAUCAAUAGGGACAGGAUGGAAGAAGAAAAGGGGGGAAAUAAGAAAAGAAAAAAAGAUAACAAGAAGAAAGAGAGUAAAAAUAAAUUGUCAGCCACGAAUGGAGAGAUGGAGCUGGCUGAGGCUGUGGGAGGAGGAGAUGCAGAGGAGACCCUGAGGGAGCAGCCCAUGCCCAGGAAUGGAGCAGUGACCCCCAGGAUUCACCAGAUCCUCUGGCCUACAGGACAAGAGAAGGCAGAAAACUCUUUCCCCUUGUCCCCAUGUCCUUUCCUCUCUUUCUGCUUUGCCCAAAAGCUCUGGGAGAUGGUGGUGAGGAGUUUUCCUUGGUGUGAAGCUGAGGCAUGAAGGAUGGGGGCCAGGAGUGCACGGACUGAGGGGAUCACAGAAAGCUCUGAACCCACCAGGGAAGGCAGCAGCACAAGAAACCACCUGGGCUCAUGGUCUGCUCUGAGGGCAAAGAGUUUUCUCUUCCCUUGACCAUGAAUGUCGACUGGAAAUGAGCUGCCAAGUGCCUCAUCACCCCCUGGACACUGCCAAAAUCCUGGUGUGGUACAGGGACACAGGCAAUGCCACACUCUGAGGGCACACACUGCCACACACUGUGGCCAGGCACGGCUCCUUCAGCCUCUCGGGGCUGCUCACUCUGCUCUCCAGGUGGAAUUUUCUGGCUGUUUUGCCCUUGACCCCUCAUUUCUUCACAAUCAUCUUCCCUCUUGUUUCCAGAGGAUCCCUAACACCACCCCCCUUUUAUCUGGGCACUUUCCUGCUGUUCCUCCAGCAUGUCCUGGAAGGGGCAGUGUGUGUCCAUCCCCACCCCUGCCCACCCUGCCUCCCCCCUUCCCUGCACAGUGCUCCUGUCAGGCUCACAUUGAUUUCUCCUCUCUUCCUCUCAAUAACCCAUCCCUUGUUGAGCCAUACCCUAGAUUUAAUUUGGUUUUAGUCCCUGCACUGUAACUGGCUUUGCUUACAGCUGGAAUUAGAUUGCUUUUCAGUGCAAAAACCUGCUUGCUGGGACUGGAAUAAUCACAGGAGCAGAGUUAAUUCACAGGGAGCUUCUCCAUCUUAUACAGCACUUAUCCACAGCUCCUCAGCUGCUCACCUUCCCUGCCCUGCACCCGUGGGGGCUGGAAAAGUCAGCAGAGGACAGGCACUGCCCUCUUUCCUGUCCAGCCCGAUGUCCCUCUCUCCUGGGAGCCAGCCCAGCACGCCGGAGCAGCAAAGCAGCAUCUUACUGUAGCUCACAACUGGGAGUUUGAGCUGACAAAAGCACAUUUCAGCCUUUUCCCCCGCUCCCAGCCAAGGAAAAGCCCUCUCCUCGCUGCGGCCCCGCAGGAUGCGCUCGGGGUGUGCCCGGGAGGAUGCGGCCGGGCAGGUUUUGG